AGUUAGUUGCACAGUUGUCAGUCACAGACAGACAUGACAAUGACAUAAGACGUCGUCACUUUCUUAAGUUACUUUUUAAACAACGGAGAUAGGAUAAUAAGUUAACUGUUAAUAAAUAAUUCAGCUGAAGUCUUCAUGCACCUGCCUACCUGGCCAACUAGCCCUAGGUGCUCAUCGUGACAAUAGAAAUAAUCUGGUCUAAUCCAACAACGCUACCUAUGUCUUCUGAAGCUAAAUAAUUUCUGUUGCAAGUUGUUGUAAAAUGUAAAUCUUCAAGAUAUCCUUCGCCUUCGUCAAUUGGCCAAUUGCCAGAUCCAAUUCUUUGCUGCUAUCUAUUUUGAGGGCAGCAGCGAGAAAAUGCUGCUACUCAAGAUUAUGUGGUGUUCACCACUCAGUUCUAAUUUAGGACAAUGUAAUAUUGAUAGAUUUGAGGUUAAUCCCUUUCUGCUGUCAUAGCUGUUUUGAAACUGACGAGAGAUUGCUGGAAUUGAAGACUGAUAAAUUGUGUAGUUAGCUAAUUUACAAAUGCAUAUCUGGGCUCCCUUCUUUUCUGUGGCCCCGUUUCCCUAACUAACCACUAAUCAACGCCCGCCGGUGGUCACUCACCCGCUGUGAUAACCAGGAGGAGGGGAGGGCUCUGGUCGAACGGGGACUUGGAAGACCCAUGAUCUGAUGAAAACUCUUGGAGGAUCAUGAGUCUAGCCCGGAAGCUUAGUAUGACUAUAUCUCCCCGGAAAAACUAACCUCGUACUUCUCUCUUCUUCCCGGUCCAGAUCUAUAUCUGGGGGCCGUAGACUAAUUUUGCUAGAUGUGCGAUUUAAAACAAAGCAAUGCGCAGGUCAUGUGCCACAAAAUGAGACAAAAAGUGAUGAUUUGUUUUUGCAAUUAGUAACAUUUUUAACUUGACCGACGGAGAUUUCUGUAAAAAUAAAUCGUCGCUGUUUGUCUCAUUGUGUGGCGAAUUGCUCGCUUAACUAGCAUUAAAUAAGAAAAAGUAUUGAACCAGA